rnacentral:rRNA from 1 species
CGCUGGCGGCGUGCUUAACACAUGCAAGUCGAACGGAAAGGCCCUGCUUUUGUGGGGUGCUCGAGUGGCGAACGGGUGAGUAACACGUGAGUAACCUGCCCUUGACUUUGGGAUAACUUCAGGAAACUGGGGCUAAUACCGGAUAGGAGCUCCUGCUGCAUGGUGGGGGUUGGAAAGUUUCGGCGGUUGGGGAUGGACUCGCGGCUUAUCAGCUUGUUGGUGGGGUAGUGGCUUACCAAGGCUUUGACGGGUAGCCGGCCUGAGAGGGUGACCGGCCACAUUGGGACUGAGAUACGGCCCAGACUCCUACGGGAGGCAGCAGUGGGGAAUAUUGCACAAUGGGCGGAAGCCUGAUGCAGCAACGCCGCGUGCGGGAUGACGGCCUUCGGGUUGUAAACCGCUUUCGCCUGUGACGAAGCGUGAGUGACGGUAAUGGGUAAAGAAGCACCGGCUAACUACGUGCCAGCAGCCGCGGUGAUACGUAGGGUGCGAGCGUUGUCCGGAUUUAUUGGGCGUAAAGGGCUCGUAGGUGGUUGAUCGCGUCGGAAGUGUAAUCUUGGGGCUUAACCCUGAGCGUGCUUUCGAUACGGGUUGACUUGAGGAAGGUAGGGGAGAAUGGAAUUCCUGGUGGAGCGGUGGAAUGCGCAGAUAUCAGGAGGAACACCAGUGGCGAAGGCGGUUCUCUGGGCCUUUUCCUGACGCUGAGGAGCGAAAGCGUGGGGAGCGAACAGGCUUAGAUACCCUGGUAGUCCACGCUGUAAACGGUGGGUACUAGGUGUGGGGUCCAUUCCACGGGUUCCGUGCCGUAGCUAACGCUUUAAGUACCCCGCCUGGGGAGUACGGCCGCAAGGCUAAAACUCAAAGGAAUUGACGGGGCCCCGCACAAGCGGCGGAGCAUGCGGAUUAAUUCGAUGCAACGCGUAGAACCUUACCUGGGUUUGACAUGGAUCGGGAGUGCUCAGAGAUGGGUGUGCCUCUUUUGGGGUCGGUUCACAGGUGGUGCAUGGCUGUCGUCAGCUCGUGUCGUGAGAUGUUGGGUUAAGUCCCGCAACGAACGCAACCCUUGUUCACUGUUGCCAGCACGUUAUGGUGGGGACUCAGUGGAGACCGCCGGGGUCAACUCGGAGGAAGGUGGGGAUGACGUCAAGUCAUCAUGCCCCUUAUGUCCAGGGCUUCACGCAUGCUACAAUGGCUGGUACAGAGAGUGGCGAGCCUGUGAGGGUGAGCGAAUCUCGGAAAGCCGGUCUCAGUUCGGAUUGGGGUCUGCAACUCGACCUCAUGAAGUCGGAGUCGCUAGUAAUCGCAGAUCAGCAACGCUGCGGUGAAUACGUUCCCGGGGCUUGUACACACCGCCCGUCAAGUCAUGAAAGUUGGUAACACCCGAAGCCGGUGGCCUAACCGUUGUGGGGGAGCCGUCGAAGGUGGGACUGGUGAUUAGGA